CAGCAGUUUGAAUCCAUGCAGGGUGAGGUGGGCCCUGCCACUAUCGAUACCGUCAGGAGUGGCAACCCAGGUCCUGUCGCCCAGAUUUCCCCCAGUCGCGAGCGACCGGGCACCAUUGAGCUCCUCAGCAGCAUGAAAGCUUCCUCCACCACAGCCUCCAUUUCUAUAGUUGUUGAGGGCCCUGCCCCGCCCUGCAUAAACUGCAGGCGAAAAGGCAGUCUAACCUCCGUGCCAGAAUCCUCGAGUUAAGACCUUAGAUGUACGGUGGCCGAAAAGGGCCAAAAUGCAUACCAUGCACCCGGGCAGCGAAGCCGCCACAGGACAACCCACAAGUGGCAUUGGCUUAGUCAGGGGAUGAGCUCAGACCACGGCUCAGGGAAAAAACGUGGCAAAUAGCAGCCCCACCGGGAAAAGCCUGCUCAGACACAGAAUCUUCCAAGGCGCCAUCUUUUUCCUAGAGCUUCCAGGACUCAGAGGUCUGAGCUUUUGCUGCCAUAUUCUCCAAAGCCUCAGCCCAGCAGCAGACACCAUUCUUAGGCUUCUGUCUGGCGUUCAGCAUCCUGGCCAGGCCUUGCUCUCUGAAGCCAUGACAAACAAGCAGGCCCUGCUCUCCACAGCCAUGCCACCGGGCCAGGCUGUGCUCACCACAGCCACGGAUGCCAGCCAGGCCCUGCCCGUGGAAGCUGCACUACCCAGCCAGGCCCUGCUUUUAGCAGCCGCACAGCAAAGCCAGUUCCUGCCUCUGGAAGUCGAACAUCCCCGCCAGGCCCUGCUCUUCACAGCCACAGACCUCACACCAGGCCCCGAUCCUUCCAGAUGGGACAUGUCAAGGUGAUCUGUUCAACAUUUGAAGUAAAAUUUUCCCACCAGUGUUUAGAGAGAAGAUAUUGCAAGGUAUUUCUCUUGUGGUUAUCUUGUCUUAAACCUUCUGCAAGUUGCAAAACCUUAUUACUGUGGAAAAGAUGGUCAGAAUAAUGGUUCAGU